CUUGUUUUCUGUGGGCUUAAAUUCUAACAAGAGGAAAACACAUAUUUUAGAGAAAAAGAAAUAGAUUGAAAAAUAGAUUAGGGAGGAAUAAGAAGAUUGCAUAAAAAGAGUGCUCAUUUGAGAUUAUGUAAAAUAAAUUUAUAGUGGUCCCAAUCAAUUACAGAUUUGUUUCUUUCUUUAGUUAUGUUUAUCAGCUCAUACAUUGGAGUGAAGCUGAGGGUUUUCUCACAAGUUGGAGUUUGACAAGGACAGUUAGUGAUUUGAGAAAGGGAUGACAGAGUUGAAAUAGAAAGGUGAAAAAUAACUUGGGAAAGUAUUUAUGGAAAAUUUCAGGUCAUAGUAAAGAUGAAUAAAUUUAGAAUUAGGAAGAGAUAGAAAGGCAGAAAUAAGAAGUUAUUAUUAUAUAAAGGCAAUUUCAGAGUUCAUGAACAAGGAAAUAUGGUUUUUUUUAUUUCAAGGUGAAUAGUCUGUUCAUAUGUGUAGCUGAGGUAGGAUGGAGAAAUGGAUUAUGGAAGUUGAGUCAUUGAGAAACUGAAGAAUCAGGUUAUUUGUUUUUUUUUUUUCCUAAUAUUUUAUUUUAUUUAUUUAAUAAUAACUUUAUAUUGACAGAAUCCAUGCCAGGGUAAUUUUUUUUACAACAUUAUCUAUUCCUUGCACUCGUUUCUGUUCUGAUUUUUCCCCUCCUCCACUCCCUCCCCUAGAUGGCAAGCAGUCCUAUAUAUAUUAGAUAUGUUGCAGUAUAUCCUAGAUACAAUAUAUGUUUGCAGAACCGAACAGUUCUCUUGUUGCACAGGGAGAAUUGGAUUCAGAAGGUAAAAAUAACCCGGGAAGAAAAACAAAAAUACAAAUAGUUCACAUUCGUUUCCCAGUGUUCUUUCUUUGGGUGUAGCUGCUUCUGUCUCUCAUUUAUCAAUUGAAACUCAGUUAGGUCUCUUUGUCAAAGAAAUCCACUUCCAUCAAAAUAUGUCCUCAUACAAUAUCGUUGUCGAAGUGUAUAAUGAUCUCCUAGUUCUGCUCAUUUCACUUAGCAUCAGUUCAUGUAAGUCUCGCCAGUCCUCUCUGUAUUCAUCCUGCUGGUCAU